AACGAACGCUGGCGGCAGGCUUAACACAUGCAAGUCGAACGCCCCGCAAGGGGAGUGGCAGACGGGUGAGUAACGCGUGGGAACAUACCCUUUUCUACGGAAUAGCUCUGGGAAACUGGAAUUAAUACCGUAUACGCCCUACGGGGGAAAGAUUUAUCGGGGAAGGAUUGGCCCGCGUUGGAUUAGCUAGUUGGUGGGGUAAGGGCCUACCAGGGCGACGAACCAUAGCUGUUCUGAGAGGAUGAUCAGCCACUGUGGGACUGAGACACGGCCCAAACUCCUACGGGAGGCAGCAGUGGGGAAUAUUGGACAAUGGGCGCAAGACUGAUCCAGCCAUGCCGCGUGAGUGAUGAAGGCCUUAGGGUUGUAAAGCUCUUUAACCGAUGAAGAUAAUGACGGUAGUCGGAGAAGAAGCCCCGGCUAACUUCGUG
rnacentral:rRNA from 1 species